AAAUUGAAGAGUUUGAUCAUGGCUCAGAUUGAACGCUGGCGGCAGGCCUAACACAUGCAAGUCGAACGGUAACAGGAAACAGCUUGCUGUUUCGCUGACGAGUGGCGGACGGGUGAGUAAUGUCUGGGAAACUGCCUG
rnacentral:rRNA from 1 species